CUCUUUACAUUUUCGGGACCAGCAUCGUGAUUGUGCUGCUGAUGCAAACAAUUAAAAUAGCUGAGUCCUCGGGGUUUCAGAAUACAAUACGUGCACUAUGCCUCCUUACCCUGACAUCUUUUCUGAAGAUUUCAAAAUGACUGAUGAAAUAAAACGUGAUGUGCUAUUAAGGGUAAUAUUUUUGCAACCUAUUCGCCGGUUUUUUUUUUACGAUCAACGUGUUUUUUACUUUUUUAUUUUAUCUUCGGUCGUACAAGAUGGGUGCCUCGAUCAUUUUAAAAUUAUACGUGUCUCGAGAUUAAAAGUGCUUAUUCUCCAUGUGCAAAAUUUAAAGUGCUUGUUUUCCUUGCUUUGUAAAAAUAAAAGACUCGUUUUUGGAAGUUGAUAAAAAGAACUCGGAUUUAGUUUGAAGCUUUUCCUUGUGGAUUUUGGGACUUCAAAAGUAUUUAUAUACAAAUGUAUAGUUAAAGGUUUCCAAACUAUGAUGUAAUAAACAAGAUUUAUACCCGGGCAUCUUUAAAAUACUUAAAACAUAUAAUAUGCAUGUAUGUCGGUCUGGACGGCAACGAUAGAACACUCUCAGAGGCGGAUUUAGGAGGGGGCAGGGGGCCCGAGCCCCCCCUUUUUGGAGAAAAAAAUGGUUGCUUAUAUAGGGAAUCAUUGAAGCGUGACUGG
rnacentral:lncRNA from 1 species